rnacentral:hammerhead_ribozyme from 1 species
ACCAGCUGACUAGUCCCAAACAGGACGAAACAAGCGUCAUGGAU